GGGCACAGAAGUCAGUUGGCUGCUCUGAGAAGAAGGAAGAGUCAGUGCUUAGAGGAGCUGCCUAUGAGAAACAUCAAGGAGACUUUCAGGUGUAGCAAUGAACCACAGAGGGAAAACAUUAGCAGAUUCCUGGCCUGUUCCACAUGGUAACAUCAGCUGCAUCAGGAUAGUACAGUCUGCUAAUGGACAUAGAGCAAGGUGCAUCACUUCAAGUCCCAACUGUUACAACCAACCAAAACUUCACUCUGUACUCCAAAUAUAUAUAUUGAAAAGCCUCAUGAAAAACUGUCAUCUAUGGGACAGAAGGACUCAUGGUCCCAACUCUAAGCCUGUCAUCGCAGUCCAUCUAAUGCUGUAGAUCACCUGAAGGUUUCACAAAUCUCUUCUAAGGCUCAGAACUAUUUUCUGACUGGAAUGUUAAGCCUUUCUAGAAUAUUAUGUAAUUUUGUUUAUAUGGUAAUUGCAAGGCAAAAAGGGUGUUACCUUAGGCAUAAGGAGAUGAUAUGCUAAACUAAAUUUUCUGUAGGUGCUCCUGGUGCAGUGAUAUUAUAUUUUCCUGUUACUAGCUUUUCAUUACUGUGGACCUUGUAUUAAAUGAUAUGAAAUUGUAUUUUAUAAUUUUUGUUCAAAACAACAACAUUUGUUAAAGCAAUGUGCAAGAUUAUUAAAAUUAACAGGGAAAAAACUGUAAAAUCUUUGGUGAAGACUUAUUUGGCUUUCAUUAGAAAAUCAAGAAAAAUUUAGCUGAUGAUAAAAGUAACGUGAAUUAUCUCUUUAUACGUGUCUCUUUCAAUGCCAAUAGAAAGUGAUUAAACAUUGCUAAUUUUAUUCAAGCAAUGUAAUACAGAGAUUGGAAGAAUUUUCUUCCUCUCUGCAGUGAUAAGGGGCAUCACUUUCAGCUUUCUUAUGUUAACUAAAAUAUUUUCUGCUACAUACAGGAUAUUGCUGCAAGCAGGUUCCAUGUUACAGAGAUUUCAUGGUUUGUCAGACUGAGGGAACCACAGCACAAGCUGGCUCAGGACGUUAAGUUCAGAGCCAGAAGUCUAAACAGGCAAAGGUGUGAUAAUCCAGUCAUUCAUGGUAAGGAGCCAAGAAUCUAAUUACACUGAAAAACAGUUCUGAUGGAAAUCUCCGUUUCACUUUCAAAACAGAUAUGAUAUCUCUGGGGUUUUGAGACCGCCAAAACUCAAAAUUUCCUUUUUUCUAUUGCCAUCUCAGAAAAGAAGACUGGUUACAGUGGCAAUUUUAGAAACCCCAAGCAAAUUAUGUGCCAACUAAAAAGCCUAGUCAGAUGACUAAGUGUCCAUGAAGUUUCAGAAGCCAUGGUUUUCUGGUAUUAUACAGUAUCUGGAAUUGUCCUGGCAGUCAAUAAACUACAGAGCUAUAUAUGUAUUUAAUAUGUAAAACAAAUUCUUUAUGAUCCCCUGGUUUUUUUUACUGUCCUGAGAUCACCUGGGUUUGUGGAUUUUUACCUGGACAUUAGUAAAGCUCUCAACACCAUCUCUCAUGGCAUGCUUCUGGAGAAACUGGCUGCUGAUAGCUUGGUCAGGUGUGCUCAUUGUUGGGUAAAAAACUGGAUGGAGAGCUGGGCUGAGAGAGUGGUGGUGAAUGGAGGUACAUCCAGCUGGUGGCUGGCCACAAGUGGCGCUUCCCAGGGCUCAGUACUGAGAACAGCCCUGAUUAAUGGCUUUGUCUAUGAUCUAGGAGAGGAGAUGGAAUGCACACUCAGUUAUUUUGCAGAUGACACAAAGCUGGGUACGAGUGUUGCUCCACUAUGGGAAAGGAAGGCACUACAGAGGGAUAUGGACAGCCUGGAUCUAUAGGACGACACCAAUUGUAUGAUUUAGUGAUGGACUUGGCAGUGUCAGACCAAUGGUUGGAGUCAAUGAUCUUACAGGUGUUUUCCAGCAUAAGCAAUUCUAUGAUUCUGUGAUUUGCCAUCCAUUGUUUGCCUCAUUCAUCAAGAAGAGGGAGACCCUAAUUUGUCUAAGGAAUGCUUAGUAACAUUUAGGUUAAAAAUCAUGUAGAUUUUCACCAUUUAAACACUAGCUUAAAAGAGUCAUAUAUACUAACAGCCCCACCUUCCAGUGAUACUGCAUGAUGGCAGAAUGACAUUAAGCAUAACAAAGAAAACUUCAACUCAGCAUAAAGGGCAUAAUUCUGGAAAUAUUGGAGUGG